rnacentral:rRNA from 1 species
UCCCGCCUGGGGAGUACGCACGCAAGUGUGAAACUCAAAGGAAUUGACGGGGGCCCGCACAAGCGGUGGAGUAUGUGGUUUAAUUCGAUGCAACGCGAAGAACCUUACCAGGGAUUGACAUCCUACGAAUCACUUUGAAAGGAGUGAGUGCCUUCGGGAACGUAGAGACAGGUGGUGCAUGGCUGUCGUCAGCUCGUGUCGUGAGAUGUUGGGUUAAGUCCCGCAACGAGCGCAACCCUCGUCCUUAGUUGCCAUCAUUAAGUUGGGCACUUUAAGGAGACUGCCGGUGACAAACCGGAGGAAGGUGGGGAUGACGUCAAGUCAUCAUGCCCCUUACAUCCUGGGCUACACACGUACUACAAUGCAACGGACAAAGGGCAGCCAACUAGCGAUAGUGCGCAAAUCCCAUAAACCGUUGCUCAGUUCAGAUUGCAGGCUGCAACUCGCCUGCAUGAAGGCGGAAUCGCUAGUAAUCGCAGGUCAGCAUACUGCGGUGAAUACGUUCCCGGGCCUUGUACACACCGCCCGUCACACCAUGGAAGUUGGCCACGCCCGAAGUCGUUACCCCAACCGUUUACGGAGGGGGACGCCGAAGGCAGGGCUGAUGACUGGGGUGAAGUCGUAACAAGGUAACC